GCCCCGGUAAACGGCGGCCGUAACUAUAACGGUCCUAAGGUAGCGAAAUUCCUUGUCGGGUAAGUUCCGACCUGCACGAAUGGCGUAAUGAUGGCCAGGCUGUCUCCACCCGAGACUCAGUGAAAUUGAACUCGCUGUGAAGAUGCAGUGUACCCGCGGCAAGACGGAAAGACCCCGUGAACCUUUACUAUAGCUUGACACUGAACAUUGAGCCUUGAUGUGUAGGAUAGGUGGGAGGCUUUGAAGUGUGGACGCCAGUCUGCAUGGAGCCGACCUUGAAAUACCACCCUUUAAUGUUUGAUGUUCUAACGUUGGCCCGUAAUCCGGGUUGCGGACAGUGUCUGGUGGGUAGUUUGACUGGGGCGGUCUCCUCCUAAAGAGUAACGGAGGAGCACGAAGGUUGGCUAAUCCUGGUCGGACAUCAGGAGGUUAGUGCAAUGGCAUAAGCCAGCUUGACUGCGAGCGUGACGGCGCGAGCAGGUGCGAAAGCAGGUCAUAGUGAUCCGGUGGUUCUGAAUGGAAGGGCCAUCGCUCAACGGAUAAAAGGUACUCCGGGGAUAACAGGCUGAUACCGCCCAAGAGUUCAUAUCGACGGCGGUGUUUGGCACCUCGAUGUCGGCUCAUCACAUCCUGGGGCUGAAGUAGGUCCCAAGGGUAUGGCUGUUCGCCAUUUAAAGUGGUACGCGAGCUGGGUUUAGAACGUCGUGAGACAGUUCGGUCCCUAUCUGCCGUGGGCGCUGGAGAACUGAGGGGGGCUGCUCCUAGUACGAGAGGACCGGAGUGGACGCAUCACUGGUGUUCGGGUUGUCAUGCCAAUGGCACUGCCCGGUAGCUAAAUGCGGAAGAGAUAAGUGCUGAAAGCAUCUAAGCACGAAACUUGCCCCGAGAUGAGUUCUCCCUGACUCCUUGAGA
rnacentral:rRNA from 1 species